GCAAGGUAGCUCAGUUGGUUAGAGCACAGCACUCAUAAUGCUGGGGUCGGCGGUUCGACUCCGCCCACAUUCU
rnacentral:tRNA from 1 species